rnacentral:misc_RNA from 1 species
GUCGCCGUCCGAUCUACCCCGGUGACCGACGUGCGUCGGCGUCGACCGUAUGUCAGUAUUUCCAGACGGUAAACAAUUGUAAAUAUGAAUAUUAUGUAUAAUCACAUUGCUAAUAUACUGCAACGUUAUACAUCCGUUACCGGUGAUGUGAACUUUCGCUCCCCGGCCGUCGAUUGUUUUGUAACUGUUAACGAUGAGUUCGUGUUUCAAUUCAAUGAACAUAUCGCCGGAGAAGAUGAUCCAGAGUGGUUCUUCCUGGAUUACAGCGUGCCGGAGUGUUCCCUGAGUUGGAUUUACGGUGUCGAGAUCUGAGGAAUCGGAAACGACGUAGUAUUUGCCGUUUUUACCUCCGAUUGCGUUCUGGCCGAAACCUAUAGCGCAAUCGGCUAAACGCUGCCGGUUUUUCGACCAAUUUGGAUCGCAGCGCCAGCAAUCGUCGAUUGGAUUUCCGGUUUCACAUUGAGUAGUUAUGGCAUUCAUGGUGGUGUUCCAU